CCUACGGGAGGCAGCAGUGGGGAAUAUUGCGCAAUGGGCGAAAGCCUGACGCAGCGACGCCGCGUGAGGGAUGAAGGUCUUCGGAUCGUAAACCUCUUUCAGCAGGGAAGAACGGUCACUGUGCUAAUCAGCAGUGAAUUGACGGUACCUGCAAAGGAAGCACCGGCUAACUCCGUGCCAGCAGCCGCGGUAAUACGGAGGGUGCGAGCGUUAAUCGGAAUUACUGGGCGUAAAGCGCUCGUAGGCGGUAUGUCAAGUCAAGGGUGAAAUCCCCGCGCUCAACGUGGGAACUGCCUUUGAAACGGGCAGACUGGAGUGUGUGAGAGGAUAGUGGAAUUCCAGGUGUAGGAGUGAAAUCCGUAGAUAUCUGGAGGAACAUCAGUGGCGAAGGCGACUAUCUGGCACAUAACUGACGCUGAGGAGCGAAAGCGUGGGUAGCAAACAGGAUUAGAUACCCUAGUAGUC
rnacentral:rRNA from 1 species